rnacentral:piRNA from 1 species
UAUCUGCCUGAUCACCAUCUAUGAGACA